CUCAAAGCUAUCAAGUAGCAGAAUUUUUUAUCUUCACUAAUUUAUAGGAUCAAUAAAAUGUCAGCAAAAUAAAGCAUCAAGGUAAAUGCAGGAGGAGUUUUUGCAGGAAUGCCGGCAGCUCCUACUCACAGUUAUGACUACAACACAACUUGAAGACUCAGCAAAAUAUUAAGCAUUUAGGCAGCACAGCUGUCUGUGAAUGGAUUCACACGCACAGUGACCGUAAUCCCUUCCCACAUUCUAACUAUGCAGAACGGUUGGAUAGCUUUCGGCGGACAUAGAAGAGCAUAUCAUCCUGCCGGGGGGCCAAUUUCUCCAUGAAAUAAGUAGAAAACAUCCAAGUCCAGAACACAAUGCGAUCAUCUUUGAAACAACCUAAGGGGAAUAAAACAGGAGA